UGGGAUGUGGCUCAGUGGUAGAGCACUUGCCUAGCAUGUGUGAGGCACUGGGUUCAAUUCUCAGCAUCACAU
rnacentral:tRNA from 1 species